rnacentral:lncRNA from 1 species
CUCUCCACCACACCCCAUCUCCAGUGCAUCACUCUCUCGCCACACCCCCUCUCCAGUGCAUCACUCUCCACCACACCCCCAUCUCCAGUGCAGGCAUCACUCUCCGCCACACCCCCAUCUCCAGUGCAUCACUCUCCGCCACACCCCCAUCUCCAGUGCAGGCAUCACUCUCCGCCACACCCCCAUCUCCAGUGUAGGCAUCACUCUCCGCCACAUGGCCUCAAACUCCACCAUUUUCUUUCUCCCCGUUGCACCCACACUCUUUCAAUAUUUUGAAAAUAAAGUAUUUAAAGGUGGACUUUGGUUGAUUUUUUAAAAAUGUCUCACUCCACCUAUAACUUUCGGGCUUUUUAACAUUCCCAGAAGGCAUGGAUUAUUAUAAUCUAAUGACAAAUGAACCUGGUAGUUUAAUUUACUGCAAGCCUAAGACCUAUGGGUUUAACCUUCUGAAUGAAUGAUUAUAUUGAAGAUAGAAGCUGCCUUUGUAAUGAGUUCCGAGAGCCGAUCCCAACAAAACAAUAUAAAUGUAUUUAGCCUAAUUGUUUUGACGACCACAGACUGUAACCUAUUAUUCCUCUUUCCCUUCCUGCGUUAAGGAAUUAGUCUGCAUGUCUAUUCAACAUUUGGAGUGAACCUCUGGGUGUUCAUCAUUAAUACUGUGUCUCAGAAGUUUCUGUCCAUGAGUGAUGCAACACGAAAAAACAUUAAAAACAGAGUUAAUGAGUACUUGAGUUCACCGAUAAAGUCUGGACAUGGCCUGCUCUCCCUUAUGUAAGGAAUUAGGCACUUUACUAUGUUUACUAUGUAGACUACAGUAAACAUCUCAUUGUCCUGAUGGUUUUUGUCAGACUGCACAGUAGCCUAAUACACAUAUACAUUUUUAAACAGUAUAUAUUUUUUUAUUGAAUACAGUAAUAUAUUUGUACAACUGUAGAUGAUGUGUUUUGAUUUUUAGAAUACAGUUCUCGGUUUACUGUAGUGAUGGACAGCUGGAGGCAUUUUGAAAACAUGUUUACAAACACUUGUUUAUGACAAGUGUAGUUAGGUUGUGAACUCUACAAACAACGUUUCCACUCUGAGAAAGAGAACGGUAAAUGACUGUAAUUAAUACAUUCAUUCAAUAGAUUGGAAUGCAAAAGAAGCCAUGCACCAUGAUUGGCUAUUAGCAGAAUAAUAUACUUUCGCCAAGUAGGAGAUCAAGGAGGAGUCCAAGGAGGAGUCCAAGGAGGAGUCCAAGGAGGAGAUCAAGAAGGAGUCCAAGAAGGAAAUCAAGUAGAAUGAUCAAGGAGGAAUCAAAGAAGGAGUCAAAGAAGGAGAUCAAGUAGCAGUUCAAGGAGGAGUCCAAGAAGGAGAUCAAGGAGGAGUCCAAGAAGGAGAUCAAGGAAGAGUCCAAACAGGAGACCAAGUAGGAGAACAAGUAGAAGAUCAAAGGAGACCAUGAAGGAGUCCAAGGAGGAGUCCAAGAAGGAGAUCAAGGAGGAGUCCAAAAAGGAGUACGAGGAGGAGUUUUUUACAUUUUUAUUUCACCUUUAUUUCACCAGGUAGGCUAGUUGAGAACAAGUUCUCAUUUGCAACUGCGACCUGGCCAAGAUAAAGCGUAGCAAUUCGACACAUACAACAACACAGAGUUACACAUGGAAUAAACAAAACAUACAGUCAAUAAUACAGUAGAACAAAAUAAAACAAAACAUCUAUAUACAGUGAGUGCAACUGAGGUAAGUUAAGGAAAUAAAUAGGCCAUUUUGGCGAAGUAAUUACAAUAUAGCAAUUAAACACUGGAAUGGUAGAUCGGCAGAAGAUGAAUGUGCAGGUAGAGAUACUGGGGUGCAAAGGAGCAAAAUAAAUAAAUAAAUACCAGUUUGGGGAUGAGGUAGGUAGAUACAGUGCCUUGCGAAAGUAUUCGGCCCCCUUGAACUUUGCGACCUUUUGCCACAUUUCAGGCUUCAAACAUAAAGAUAUAAAACUGUAUUUUUUUGUGAAGAAUCAACAACAAGUGGGACACAAUCA